rnacentral:rRNA from 1 species
UACGUAGGGGGCAAGCGUUGUCCGGAAUUAUUGGGCGUAAAGCGCGUGUAGGCGGUCCACUAAGUCUGCUGUGAAAGUCCAGGGCUCAACCCUGGGAUGCCGGUGGAUACUGUCGAGCUCGAGUCCGGAAGAGGCGAGUGGAAUUCCUGGUGUAGCGGUGAAAUGCGCAGAUAUCAGGAGGAACACCAAUAGCGAAGGCAGCUCGCUGGGACGGUACUGACGCUAAGGCGCGAAAGCGUGGGGAGCGAACAGG